rnacentral:misc_RNA from 1 species
AGACUGAAGUGGCAUAAAAAUUUACCUUGGGGACCAAAUGCUUCAUAUACUUUACUUAAAGGACUAAUAAUAAAUUUCAUUUUAUCCCAAUACAGUCAAUAACUAGUACUAGCACAGAAGACCGGCGGCGUUUGGUGGACCGGGGUCGAAUUUGUAAACCGGCCGAAGUCAACCUCCCGUGAUGGCUAUCCCUGCACCACCAUCGAGCUCCGCCGUUCCCGGCGGUUAUCAGAAAUCUAAGAGAUCGUUAGGUUUCUUUGCAAACGCAAUGAAGAGGAAAGAUAGCUUUUUACAAUUCUUCGCCAUGACAGGAAUUCUUCUUCUGAGUAUGAGAUCGCUUGGGCAAAAGUACCGCAUAAACGACCUCGAGGAGGAUAACGCCGCGCUCAAGGAAGAACAAGAAGGGCUCGUUCACCGAAUGAACCAUAUCAAGCAAAGCCUACUUGCUGAAGCUGCUAGUGAGCCCACUGGUGCCUUUGCUUCCCGUCUUCGCCGCCUCUUUGGUGAUGAAAGCUGAAACAGUUGAGUUUGUUGUUCUGUCUGAGUUUGUAUUUCAUAUAUAUGUCCAAUAUUAGCAGAAUUUAUAGAUUUUAUAAUUUGGGAUUUUUGGAGACUUCAUCUCGACCUGGAGUGUUAAAUUUGAA